rnacentral:rRNA from 1 species
GACGAACGCUGGCGGCGUGCUUAACACAUGCAAGUCGAACGGAAAGGCCCCUUUGGGGGUACUCGAGUGGCGAACGGGUGAGUAACACGUGAGGAACCUGCCCUUGACUUCGGGAUAACUUCAGGAAACUGGGGCUAAUACCGGAUAGGAAUCCUUGCUGCAUGGUGGGGGUUGGAAAGCUUCGGCGGUUUUGGAUGGACUCGCGGCUUAUCAGCUUGUUGGUGGGGGAGUGGCUUACCAAGGCUUUGACGGGUAGCCGGCCUGAGAGGGCGACCGGCCACAUUGGGGCUGAGAGAAGGCCCAGACUCCCACGGGGGGCAGAGGUGGGGAAAAUUGCACAAUGGGCGGAAGCCCGUUGCAGAAACGCCGCGUGCGGGAUGACGCGCCUUGGGUGUUAAACCGCUUUCAGCAGGGGCGAAGCUUGUGGUGACGGUACCUGCAGAAGAAGCACCGGCUAACUACGUG